rnacentral:rRNA from 1 species
AGAGUUUGAUCCUGGCUCAGGACGAACGCUGGCGGCGCGCCUAACACAUGCAAGUCGAACGAGCGAGAGAGAGCUUGCUUUCUCGAGCGAGUGGCGAACGGGUGAGUAACGCGUGAGGAACCUGCCUCAAAGAGGGGGACAACAGUUGGAAACGACUGCUAAUACCGCAUAAGCCCACGGCUCGGCAUCGAGCAGAGGGAAAAGGAGCAAUCCGCUUUGAGAUGGCCUCGCGUCCGAUUAGCUAGUUGGUGAGGUAACGGCCCACCAAGGCGACGAUCGGUAGCCGGACUGAGAGGUUGAACGGCCACAUUGGGACUGAGACACGGCCCAGACUCCUACGGGAGGCAGCAGUGGGGAAUAUUGCACAAUGGGGGAAACCCUGAUGCAGCGACGCCGCGUGGAGGAAGAAGGUCUUCGGAUUGUAAACUCCUGUUGUUGGGGAAGAUAAUGACGGUACCCAACAAGGAAGUGACGGCUAACUACGUGCCAGCAGCCGCGGUAAAACGUAGGUCACAAGCGUUGUCCGGAAUUACUGGGUGUAAAGGGAGCGCAGGCGGGAAGACAAGUUGGAAGUGAAAUCUAUGGGCUCAACCCAUAAACUGCUUUCAAAACUGUUUUUCUUGAGUAGUGCAGAGGUAGGCGGAAUUCCCGGUGUAGCGGUGGAAUGCGUAGAUAUCGGGAGGAACACCAGUGGCGAAGGCGGCCUACUGGGCACUAACUGACGCUGAGGCUCGAAAGCAUGGGUAGCAAACAGGAUUAGAUACCCUGGUAGUCCAUGCCGUAAACGAUGAUUACUAGGUGUGGGGGGUCUGACCCCCUCCGUGCCGGAGUUAACACAAUAAGUAAUCCACCUGGGGAGUACGACCGCAAGGUUGAAACUCAAAGGAAUUGACGGGGGCCCGCACAAGCAGUGGAGUAUGUGGUUUAAUUCGACGCAACGCGAAGAACCUUACCAAGUCUUGACAUCCCUUGACAGGCAUAGAAAUAUGUUUUCUCUUCGGAGCAAGGAGACAGGUGGUGCAUGGUUGUCGUCAGCUCGUGUCGUGAGAUGUUGGGUUAAGU